UCGAGGAUCUUUGGCAAUGGGCGCAAGCCUGACCAAGCGACGCCGCGUGUGCGAUGAAGGCCUUCGGGUUGUAAAGCACUGUCGAGGGGGACGAAGCCGCAAGGUUGACCGAUCCCUGGAGGAAGCACGGGCUAAGUUCGUGCCAGCAGCCGCGGUAAGACGAACCGUGCGAACGUUGUUCGGAAUCACUGGGCUUAAAGGGCGCGUAGGCGGCUUGUCAAGUCAGGGGUGAAAUCUUUCGGCUUAACCGGAAAAGUGCCCUUGAUACUGAUGAGCUCGAGGGAGGUAGGGGCAUGUGGAACUUCUGGUGGAGCGGUGAAAUGCGUUGAUAUCAGAAGGAACGCCGGUGGCGAAAGCGACGUGCUGGACCUCUUCUGACGCUGAGGCGCGAAAGCUAGGGGAGCAAACGGGAUUAGAUACCCCCGUAGUCC
rnacentral:rRNA from 1 species